rnacentral:rRNA from 1 species
GAUGAACGCUGGCGGCGUGCCUAACACAUGCAAGUCGAGCGAACGGACGAGAAGCUUGCUUCUCUGAUGUUAGCGGCGGACGGGUGAGUAACACGUGGAUAACCUACCUAUAAGACUGGGAUAACAUCGGGAAACCGUAGCUAAUACCGCAUAAUAUUCUGAAUCGCAUGGUUCAUAAGUGAAAGACGGUCUUUCUGUCACUUAUAGAUGGACCCGCGCUGCAUUAGCUAGUUGGUAAGGUAACGGCUUACCAAGGCAACGAUGCAUAGCCGACCUGAGAGGGUGAUCGGCCACACUGGAACUGAGGCGCGGUCCAGACUCCUACGGGAGGCAGCAGUAGGGAAUCUUCCGCGAUGGGCGAAAGCCGGACGGAGCAACGCCGCGUGAGUGAUGAAGGUCUUCGGAUCGUAGAACUCUGUUAUUAGGGGAGAACAUAUGUGUAAGUGACUGUGCACAUCUUGACGGUACCUAAUCAGAAAGCCACGGCUAACUACGUG